GAUGAACGCUGGCGGCGUGCUUAACACAUGCAAGUCGAACGGAAAGGCCCAAGCUUGCUUGGGUACUCGAGUGGCGAACGGGUGAGUAACACGUGGGUGAUCUGCCCUGCACUUCGGGAUAAGCCUGGGAAACUGGGUCUAAUACCGGAUAGGACCACUUCUUGGAUGUUGUGGUGGAAAGUUUUUUCGGUGUGGGAUGAGCUCGCGGCCUAUCAGCUUGUUGGUGGGGUAAUGGCCUACCAAGGCGUCGACGGGUAGCCGGCCUGAGGGGGUGUACGGCCACAUUGGGACUGAGAUACGGCCCAGACGCCUACGGGAGGCAGCAGUGGGGAAUAUUGCACAAUGGGCGCAAGCCUGAUGCAGCGACGCCGCGUGGGGGAUGACGGCCUUCGGGUUGUAAACUCCUUUCGCUAGGGACGAAGCGUUUUGUGACGGUACCUGGAGAAGAAGCACCGGCUAACUACGUG
rnacentral:rRNA from 1 species